GACGAACGCUGGCGGCGUGCUUAACACAUGCAAGUCGAACGGUAAGGCCCUUCGGGGUACACGAGUGGCGAACGGGUGAGUAACACGUGAGUAACCUGCCCUUGACUCUGGGAUAACUGCGGGAAACUGUAGCUAAUACCGGAUACGACACGCGGCGGCAUCGCCAGGGGGUGGAAAGAAUUUCGGUCAAGGAUGGACUCGUGGCCUAUCAGCUAGUUGGGGAGGUAACGGCUCACCAAGGCGACGACGGGUAGCCGGCCUGAGAGGGUGACCGGCCACACUGGGACUGAGACACGGCCCAGACUCCUACGGGAGGCAGCGGUGGGGAAUAUUGCACAAUGGGCGCAAGCCUGAUGCAGCAACGCCGCGUGAGGGAUGACGGCCUUCGGGUUGUAAACCUCUUUUAGUAGGGAAGAAGCGAAAGUGACGGUACCUGCAGAAAAAGCACCGGCUACCUACGUGCCAGCAGCCGCAGUAAC
rnacentral:rRNA from 1 species